rnacentral:ribozyme from 2 species
UCCUGGACUAAGCCCAGGAGCACAGUGGGCCAUGCACUUCCCAAAACAAGAUCCUGCUCUUGCAUGUGGUGCCAAUCAUGGUCCUCAUGACCUGUGCUUGGAGAGACAGGGACUCAGCCA